rnacentral:rRNA from 1 species
GACGAACGCUGGCGGCGUGCUUAACACAUGCAAGUCGAGCGGUAAGGCCCUUUCGGGGGUACGACGAGCGGCGAACGGGUGAGUAACACGUGGGUGACCUGCCCUCAGCUCUGGGAUAAGCCUGGGAAACCGGGUCUAAUACUGGAUAUGACUCCAUGACGCAUGUUGUGGGGUGGAAAGCCUUGUGCGGCUGAGGAUGGGCCCGCGGCCUAUCAGCUUGUUGGUGGGGUGANGGCCUACCAAGGCGACGACGGGUAGCCGGCCUGAGAGGGCGACCGGCCACACUGGGACUGAGACACGGCCCAGACUCCUACGGGAGGGCAGCAGUGGGGAAUCUUGCGCAAUGGGCGAAAGCCUGACGCAGCGACGCCGCGUGAGGGAUGAC